UGGUAACAAGGGGGAAAAGAUAGUUUGGUAACAAUGCCAAAUAAGUUGCAAGCCUAUCUUUAGUGAAAUUCAAUAAAAUGUGGUGUGUUUUCUUCUUCAAAUGUAGAAGGAGUCCUUUGACAGGGAGAUAUAAAAUAUUGUGUAUGUAAGUGUGUAUGUAUAUGUGUCACACACACACAGAGACAUAGACAGAGAGAGAUAG